GUAGGAAACUAGGCUGAAAAACAGAUGCCUCAAAGAACUGAUUUCUGAGGAAGGAUGAUCACUGUGAUAUGAGAGCCCUGCUAUGGUAUUUGCAUUCACAUUAGGUAGACUGGAUGUGGCUACUCCACUUUCAAUGAACAGUUUACCUUCCCUGGAAGCCAGGAAAGCAAUGAUCUCUACAGUGGGUAAUAUCAUCAAGCUCCCUUGAAAAUAAUCCACGUGGGAUUAAAUUAACUGCUAUGUAAAAGAGAUGGAAUCAUUUAAAUUUCAUUUUGAAGAUACUCUGCUGUUUGUAUGCUACAGGAUUCUAGAGCUUUGGUGGACAACUGUGAAAGAAAAUACUGAGAGAAUUUUUUUUUUUUUUUUUAGUGUUAUCCAGAUUCUGGCAAAUAUUGGAAUGUAUACAAUGAUGAUUUAUAUCCUUGAUAUCCAGUGAAUGAGCAUCUACCACCUAUAAACGUUUGGUGGGAUUUUAGCACUAUGUGGCACACAGUCAUUCCAAUUGAUGUAGAAAAAGUUUUGCAGCAAAUGUGCCACAAAGCUCACAGUCCUGAGGACAGUGACUUUUCAUAUUAUACAGUCAUUGUUAAAACAAGUGCAGGUCAUUUAGCACAGAACAGAUAAUUGUUGUAAAAACGAUCCCCCAGUACAGUUUGUGAUGCACGUAGCCUGGACAAAAGUUCUCUUGUCUUAAAUUUUUUCAAAAUUCAAAUAUUCUGUUCUUGGCCAUUCCUCUGCUUUAACUUUAUUCUUGAAAAAACUCAAAUUCCUUUACUUGGCUGAAGUAUCUCAGAGAGGCUUCCCCCAUUUGACUCCCUGAUGCUGUAUUCCAGAAUUGCCGGUCACUUAACACAUAUGGACCCCAGAAUAUUAGCUUUGGCAACAUCCCCAGGCUCUUUGCAAAAUAAGAAUUCACACUUCCCAAGCCAAGUGUAAGUGGAAGGUUCCCACAACGCUGGUGAAUCCAGAAAGAUUCUUGUAGGCCAUUCACAUCCAAACAACCAAAGGGCUUAAAGCUGUUGAUUGGCAAUACCACUUACGGUCCAUUCUUGUGGUAAGAUGCAAGUUAUUAAAUUUUCCUUUUGAAGGCAUAUUGCUUGAAGGUGCCAGAAAAUUAGGGCUUUUCUUAGCCAGUGUUAAUAACAUGCAGUUUAAGCUGGAGAAUUUGAAUCUAUUCAAUUUCAUUUUAGUUUGCAUGGAAGAAAACCUAUUCCUUAGCAACAACUUGAGUAUGGUAAAAAUAAAGGUUCUGUGGAAUUUU